GAUGAACGCUGGCGGCGUGCCUAAUACAUGCAAGUCGAGCGAACCACUUCGGUGGUGAGCGGCGAACGGGUGAGUAACACGUAGGUGAUCUGCCCAUCAGACGGGGACAACGAUUGGAAACGAUCGCUAAUACCGGAUAGGACGAAAGUUUAAAGGUGCUUCUGGCACCGCUGAUGGAUGAGCUUGCGGCGCAUUAGCUAGUUGGUAGGGUAAAGGCCUACCAAGGCGACGAUGCGUAGCCGACCUGAGAGGGUGAACGGCCACACUGGGACUGGGACACGGCCCAGAAUCCUACGGGAGGCAGCAGUAGGGAAUCUUCGGCAAUGGGCGAAAGCCUGACCGAGCAACGCCGCGUGAAUGAUGAAGGCCUUCGGGUUGUAAAAUUCUGUUAUAAGGGAAGAACGACUUUAGUAGGAAAUGGCUAGAGUGUGACGGUACCUUAUGAGAAAGCCACGGCUAACUACGUGCCAGCCGCCGCCGUAA
rnacentral:rRNA from 1 species